GGCGAGGUGGCGGAGCGGCCAAACGCAGCUGCCUUGAAAACAGUCGCCCGGGAAACCGGGCCGGGAGUUCGAAUCUCCCUCUCGCCG
rnacentral:tRNA from 1 species